rnacentral:rRNA from 1 species
UACGUAGGGUGCAAGCGUUGUCCGGAAUUAUUGGGCGUAAAGAGCUCGUAGGCGGUUUGUCGCGUCUGCUGUGAAAACUCAGGGCUUAACCCUGAGCUUGCAGUGGGUACGGGCAGACUAGAGUGCGGUAGGGGAGACUGGAAUUCCUGGUGUAGCGGUGAAAUGCGCAGAUAUCAGGAGGAACACCGAUGGCGAAGGCAGGUCUCUGGGCCACUACUGACGCUGAGAAGCGAAAGCAUGGGGAGCGAACAGG